ACUGCGCCGCGUCACCGUUAUCAAAAGCGUUAUCAGAGCACAGCUAAGGUCGGCAACAAUGCCAACAGAAACAGUUCGUGGAAUGACAGCUCUGAUCGCACGCUGCUGCACUAUGCUGGAUGCAUCUCGUGUGAGGAGACGUUGAUUCACUAACCGGCUCGUGAUCACUCUCGCGCUAUAUUCCACACCUUCUGGCGCAGACGGAUUCAGUUGAAGGCUGGUGCGUAUCCAUACAGCCCAAACGGCGAUGCUGAAGUUCAUUCCUUCUGUACAAGCCCAUUGCGAAACAGCUGAUUUGGAUUUCACACGGUACUGCAACAAACAACAUAUCCUACACGUGAUGGACAAGUUUGGAGUAAAGUAACCGAAACGCACUUUGAUUAACACUAUUUUACCGCCCAUCGCUUUACGAACCGCAGGAUGUGUGCCAAAACUGCCCACAACGGUAUAACACGUAGGAACCGACCUCGUUCAUCGUCGCAUCGGUUUUUUGCUGGCUCAGACAAACGGAUAUUUCAGAAUCUAUCAAUCCCAUUUCUGUCGUUUGACUGUAGCAUCCGAUAGUUACAAUGAUUACUCGACAACCGGCACUGCUGUGGCGUAGCCUUCGUUCAACUACUCCCUCAAAACAAAUAUCGGCGAAAAAGUUCAUCACGCCAGGCAGCCCGUAUAUACCAUGCCCACACAGUUACGGAUCACACACGGUUAUGGAUCACUUUGGCGGUUGAGAUCGAUAACAGUAAUACCUCGAUAUAAUAGAACUAUUCUCAUUUCGUUAUAUCGAAGUAGAUUUUAUUUCGUGAUUUUGUUCAA